UACGGAGGGUGCAAGCGUUAUUCGGAAUUACUGGGCGUAAAGCGUGCGUAGGCGGUUACAUAAGUCGGGCGUGAAAGCCCCGGGCUCAACCUGGGAAUUGCAUUCGAGACUGCGUAGCUAGGGUGCGGAAGAGGGAAGCGGAAUUUCCGGUGUAGCGGUGAAAUGCGUAGAUAUCGGGAGGAACACCAGUGGCGAAAGCGGCUUCCUGGUCCAGCACCGACGUUCAGGCACGAAAGCGUGGGGAGCAAACAGG
rnacentral:rRNA from 1 species